AGUGAACGCUGGCGGUAGGCCUAACACAUGCAAGUCGAACGGCAGCACAGUAAGAGCUUGCUCUUACGGGUGGCGAGUGGCGGACGGGUGAGGAAUACAUCGGAAUUUACUUUUUCGUGGGGGAUAACGUAGGGAAACUUACGCUAAUACCGCAUACGACCUACGGGUGAAAGCAGGGGAUCUUCGGACCUUGCGCGAUUGAAUGAGCCGAUGUCGGAUUAGCUAGUUGGCGGGGUAAAGGCCCACCAAGGCGACGAUCCGUAGCUGGUCUGAGAGGAUGAUCAGCCACACUGGAACUGAGACACGGUCCAGACUCCUACGGGAGGCAGCAGUGGGGAAUAUUGGACGAUGGGCGCAAGCCUGAUCCAGCCAUACCGCGUGGGUGAAGAAGGCCUUCGGGUUGUAAAGCCCUUUUGUUGGGAAAGAAAAGCAGCAGGUUAAUACCCCGCUGUUCUGACGGUACCCAAAGAAUAAGCACCGGCUAACUUCGUG
rnacentral:rRNA from 1 species